rnacentral:lncRNA from 1 species
CUGAACCCCUUUCUCUCCCUCAUUUGGAUGCAGCAGCGUGAAACACUUCCAGGGAGGGGAGAAAGCUUCCGUAACUUUACGGUAAAUUUCCGAUCCCCGAAACUUCUCCGUCCGAGCUCCAAUCGCCGCACCGUUUGCGGCCACGCGUCCACCGCGUCGAGCUCUACAUUUCUACCGAAACAAUUUUACUGGUAACUUGUUUAAUCACUCUCAGCCCUCUUUUUCCCCAAUUUUCGAAUUUUAAGUGGGAAUGUUGAAUUUCUUUGAUUUCUGAUAUUUUAGGAUCCAAUUAGCUUGAGAGAAACGUUCACUCUUGCUUAUGUGAAGCUUGGGUAAGGUGAGGAUACGAUAAUUCUAUUUUAUUUUCAUUGAAUUUGAGCUUUGAGUAUUAAAUUGGAUAUAUAUGUGUUAUGAAUGUGUAUUAGGUUGUGAAUAAAUAAUUGGAGCUGGGAAUUGUGAAUACUGGAACUUGGAGGAAGCGGAUUAGUUGAGUUUUGAGGGGCUACCUUGGUUUUGAAUAAAUAGCUUUGGUCGUUACGUGGAAAUCGGCCAAGGUAUGGUUUAGGUUUCUUGCAUUUAAUAUAUAAUGUUCUGUGAAAACUUAGGCUAGAUGACCAUUGGAUAAGUUGGAAUGCAGGUGUAUGUUUAAUGUUUAGUAAUUUGUCGAUAAAUAUAUUUGGUUGAAGUUUAUUGGAUAAUUAGUUUUUAAUUUUGGAUGGUGAAUGUUGUUAUGUUAAUUUGGAGAGAAUUAUGGUUGAAUGUUAUUGUUGAUGAACAUAGUUAGUUUGGUGCUUGUUGAUUAACUAAUGAUUUGGUGAAUUAUUGAUUUGAGGUUUAAUUAUUGUGGAGGUUGUGAUAAUGAGGUAUUUUGUGUUAAAAGCCUAGGAUUUGUGAACUAUGAUUCUUAGUUGGAUUUUGGUUGUUGGACUUGAAUAUUGCAUGAGUUUAAUUGUUGAUCUGAGGUAGAUUUAUUGUGGUGAUUGUUAUGAUGAUGAGAAAGGGUAUGUUGAAUUGAAAAGAAUGCAGGUUUGGACCCGAAAAGGGUGGCAAAGUCCGAGUUUUAGAAGAGGUGCUGCCGAAAUUUUAUAAAAAAUUAGAGAUUUUAUUUAGAUAAUUAUUUAAAAGAGAUUUAGAUUUAAAGGUUAUAUGGUUUGAUUUUGAGUCAUUAAGAAAAUGAGUGUGUUUUAAGUUUGAAGUUUGAUUCGUAGAAAAGAAUGAAUUAUAUUUUGAAUUGGAACUAUUGAUGGAU